UGGGGGAUAUUGCACAAUGGGCGAAAGCCUGAUGCAGCGACGCCGCGUGGGGGAUGAAGGCCUUCGGGUUGUAAACUUCUUUUGCUCUGAACAAGGCAUGCCUUUGGGGUGUGUUGAGUGUAGGGGUUGAUUAGCGCCGGCUAACUACGUGCCAGCAGCCGCGGUAAUACGUAGGGCGCGAGCGUUGUCCGGAAUUAUUGGGCGUAAAGGGCUUGUAGGUGGCUGGUUGCGUCUGUCGUGAAAGCUCAUGGCUUAACUGUGGGUUUGCGGUGGGUACGAGCUGGCUUGAGUGCAGUAGGGGAGGCUGGAAUUCCUGGUGUAGCGGUGGAAUGCGCAGAUAUCAGGAGGAAUACCGGUGGCGAAGGCGGGUCUCUGGGCUGUUACUGACGCUGAGGAGCGAAAGCGUGGGGAGCGAACAGG
rnacentral:rRNA from 1 species